UACGUAGGGUGCGAGCGUUGUCCGGAUUUAUUGGGCGUAAAGAGCUCGUAGGCGGCUUGUCGCGUCGACUGUGAAAACCCGCAGCUUAACUGCGGGACUGCAGUCGAUACGGGCAGGCUAGAGUUCGGUAGGGGAGACUGGAAUUCCUGGUGUAGCGGUGAAAUGCGCAGAUAUCAGGAGGAACACCGGUGGCGAAGGCGGGUCUCUGGGCCGAUAUCGACGCUGAGGAGCGAAAGCGUGGGGAGCGAACAGG
rnacentral:rRNA from 1 species